rnacentral:rRNA from 1 species
CAAUAGCGUAUAUUUAAGUUGUUGCGGUUAAAAAGCUCGUAGUUGGAUUUCUGCUGAGGACGACCGGUCCGCCCUCCGGGUGAGCAUCUGGUUCGGCCUUGGCAUCUUCUUGGUGAACGUAUCUGCACUUGACUGUGUGGUGCGGUACCCAGGACUUUUACUUUGAAAAAUUAGAGUGUUUAAAGCAGGCUAUUGCCUUGAAUACAUUAGCAUGGAAUAAUAAUCUAGGACUUCGGUUCUAUUUUGUUGGUUCUUAGUACUGAAGUAAUGAUUGAUAGGGAUAGUUGGGGGUGGCUAGUAUUGGCCGGCCAGAGGUGAAAUUCUUGGAUUCGGUCAAGACUAACUUAUGCGAAAGCAUUCACCAAGGAUGUCUUCUUUAAUCAAGAACGAAAGUUGGGGGAUCGAAGAUGAUCAGAUACCAU